rnacentral:tRNA from 1 species
ACUCCAAUAGUUCAACGGAUAGAACAGCGGUCUUCUAAACCGCCGAUAAGAGUUCGAUUCUCUUUUGGAGUACCA